CUGCACCACACUCUUAAUCAAGAUUUCCUUUCCGGCUUUAGUACUCUCAACUCAUGUGCCAUGUUCCUUUUAAGUGUUGAUGUAACACUUCCUGUACAAUUAUGAUGUUGUCUUAUAUCUGUCUGCCCUGAACGAAUGCACUCUGUUCUGGUUCGAUUAUCUCUGGAUUUUUCACUUUGGGGAUCAAGGUUAUAUAAGUCGAUUCAAAUGAGGGUCCAUAAUACCUGUACUGAAGAAAUUCUGUACAAGCUGGAACAGGUCAGUCUGUAUAAUAUCCCAAGCAUUUUGAUAGAAAAGCCCAUUGAAACCAUCAGGACCAGGCGCUUUCAAUGCUCCCAUUUGAAAAACUGCUUCUCGCACUUCCUCCAUUGUAGGUUUUGCCACUAAUGAUGCAUU